GAGUUUGAUCUUGGCUCAGGAUGAACGCUGGCGGCGUGCUUAACACAUGCAAGUCGAGCGAAGCGCUUUGCGGAUUUCUUCGGAUUGAAGCAACUGUGACUGAGCGGCGGACGGGUGAGCAACGCGUGGGUAACCUGCCUCAUACAGGGGGAUAACAGUUGGAAACGGCUGCUAAUACCGCAUAAGCGCACAGUACCGCAUGGUACCGCGUGAAAACUCCGGUGGUAUGAGAUGGACCCCGCGUCU
rnacentral:rRNA from 1 species